UAGCGUUGCUCAGGGAGCACAUG
rnacentral:miRNA from 1 species